UACGAAGGGGGCUAGCGUUGCUCGGAAUCACUGGGCGUAAAGCGCACGUAGGCGGCUUUUUAAGUCAGGGGUGAAAUCCCGGAGCUCAACUCCGGAACUGCCUUUGAUACUGAAAAGCUUGAGUUCGGGAGAGGUGAGUGGAACUGCGAGUGUAGAGGUGAAAUUCGUAGAUAUUCGCAAGAACACCAGUGGCGAAGGCGGCUCACUGGACUGGUAUUGACGCUGAUGUGCGAAAGCGUGGGGAGCAAACAGG
rnacentral:rRNA from 1 species